ensembl:snRNA Gm26131 U6 spliceosomal RNA
GUGCUCACUUCAGCAGCACAUAUACUAAAAAAUUAGAAUGAUACAGAGAAGAUUAGCAUGGCCCCUGCACAAGAAUGACACACAAAUUGUGAAGUGUUCCAUAAAAAA